rnacentral:lncRNA from 1 species
UAGAUGAAUAGCCUUUGAAACCACUUUACAAAAUUUUCCAAACUAUUCUGAAGCACAUUUCACACCUGUAAUGGAAACAAACAAUCAACUAUUUAAAUGGUAUUUUCUUCCCACCGAGUUAGUAGACACCUGGAAAGUGUUGUUUUUAAAACUCUUGAAUGUACUGGAUGAUUUUCUGUUUUGAUCGAAGUAGGAUCAAUUAUGAAUAACUUAAAACUAGGAUAAAAAUCCUUGUAAGUCUUUCUCCCACAGUCUUUGCCUUUGAAAAUAAUCAACAUAGUUACUCGUUCAAUUUUGCUUCCUGUAGACUGGUGAUCAGCAAGCAGUUUUCUGUACCGUUAAGAGACCGCACGACUUGGCUGUCUUUUGUAUGGUUAAUAUUGUUAUAUUUCUUGUUUUGCAGCUAUGUGUGAUAUUGGAACCAAUGCAAGAGCUGAUGUCAAGGCAUAAAGCGUAUGCAUUAUCUCCAAGAGAUUGUCUGAAAACGACGCUUUUUUCAAAAGUGGCAGCGCAUGGUGGCUCCGCCUGGUAAGCGAGAAUCACAAAGGCCGGCAAGUAAAAGGCGGAAACGAAAGGCUCACAGUCAGGAGGUGCAGCUAAUAACACUCCACCUGUUCCUAAUAAAAACGUUCUCCGGGUCCCUAAUUUUUCUCUGGCGUCUCAGGAUGUCAUGGUGGUGGGGGAGCCGUCACUGAUGGGCGGAGAGUUUGGUGAGGAAGACGAGCGCAUGAUCACUCGAUUAGAGAAUACGCAGUACGACGCUGCAAAUUCGCUGGAGCAUGAUGCGCCGCAUGGUUUUUCCUGACCCGCCCAAUUCAUGGACGGACCGGCCGUCGACACAAGGCAACACGCCCUCAAGUCAAGACUCAGACAAGAAGUCGCCUGCUGUGAGCCAGUGAUAUCCUUUUAGUGUCCAUAUUCUGUUUCAAAUUUCAAAUUUAUUUUGUUUUCAUUUGCUAGUGAAUUUCCUUUCAGUGCAGUUUGUAGCGCUGUGUGGUCUCAAGAUCAGUUUCUUCGUCUCUGAACAACUUGUGCUAUUAAUGUAUCAGUUCUAUCUCUCCACGAUCAGUACCCACCUCAUCAUGUCAACGCAAGUUGUGCAAUUUUUAACCUAUUCUCUGUUGCUGAAAAGAAUAGUGUAAGGUGUUCUGUAGUGUUUCCACAUCACUUGCAUGUCAAUUGAACAGCAGUGUAUUCAUUGCAUGUAGAUGCAAAAUUUUGCUGCAGGAAUAGAAGUUAUCUUCCUCAAAAGCACAUCAUGGUCUCAAAUUUCAACAGUACAAAAUUGAUGGGUACCCUUGUUAGGUUAUAUAGUUAUUUAGACCUCUAACUUCUAAUCGCAGCAAAAUUCUAUUAUUAUGUUGGAAUUUUUUUUUCUCCGCUAACGUGCGUUAAAAACUCAGCAUUAAGCUGAAAUUCUCACUACAGAGGGAAUAACUCAUCGGAGUACUGGAUUCCCUCAAAGAGAUAUGCUGUUUGGAGCAACCCUUUUUUAACGCACGUUAGCGGAAAAAAAAAAUUCCAACAUACUAAUGACCGGUGCGUCCACCGCAAUCAGUUUGUGUGAAAAUUCUAUCAUAAUUUACACAGACAAUUUUAGCAGCAGAGCAUUGGACUAAGUAGCUGAUUUUAUUAUUGUUGCAAAUUUCUAAUAAAAUUCUAUCAUCUCUUUUUUGGUUUAUGUAUAAUUGAUAGUUUAUCACCUCUUUAAAGGUUUUUUUUUUUUUUUUUUUUUUUUUUUAAUCAUUGGGAUGUAUUCAGGUCAGAAUCGCUAUAAUUUGAUUUUGAAAGUAUUUUUUCUGUGCAUUGAGUCAUUAUUUUAAAUAUUAUCACCGAUUUUUCUCAGAUUCCUGUCUUGGAAUUUUUACAUUAUUAGAAGUUGUUAAUACCCACUAUAGGAAAAUUGUGAACCACCGUAUCGAAUUGUUUACAUUCAACUAACGGUUGUAGCCUAGUUGCUGAGACCUACCACUCAAAUAUUCAAGAGAAAAUGUCAUUGUUUUUUUUAAUUUCAUCCAGCCAAAAAUACUCUGUAAUAAAACUGUUUUGUGAUGAAAAUUUUGAAACGGUUUUUUAGUUUUUGACUUAUUUCUGUUAUUUGAAUGAAAUUAUUAUUAGAUAUGACGAAACAUGUUACACCUGUGUACAGAUACUUAUCUGUAAGCAUCAUUUUUAAGUAUCUGAAUUUUUUUACUACUUUCUUCCUGCUAUUUGGUUCAAAUAAGCGCCAUUUUCCCUUAUUAUUUUCACUGCUGCUGUAACUGAGCUCUAAUACUAAAGAUUUUUACUUCAAAUCAGUAUGUCACUUUCUUUAAUGUAUCUCAAAGAGCACAAAUCAAUGAAAUUCUGAAAGUUGAUUCAGUUUUAAUUUCUAUGUCUUCUAAGUUAGAAACCUCAAAUUUCAGCCAAGGUAUAGAUGAUUUUUGGGUUGCUUUCAUAAAUCAGUUUGGACCAAAGUUCACAUUUACGUUUUUAAAACAUUUUUUUUCUCUCUCCAUGAAUCCCAUGGCAAUCAUUUUGUAACCGUUAUUUUCUUGUCAAUCUCUUUUUACACAGAGACUGGUUUAUUUUUAUUUUGGAGAAUUUUAUUAUUUCUGUUAUCCUUUUUAGCUAACGACGGACCGCAACUAAAAUCAUAGAUUUUUUUAAUUUUUCGCGAUAAGUUGUUUAUUUUCCAUUCCCCUUACAUUUUGCUCCUAUUAAUCAAAUUUUAUCACAGAUUUGGCUCUGUAAGUACAUUCAGAUCUUGCAUCGCUCUUUUUUCCUUUUUUAACUUAUUAUACCCCUUCCAAGAUGGAUGCAGUGCAAACUUGGCCUCUGCCUUUUUUAAUCAUAUAAUCUCUAAUGAAACUUACUAUUUCUAUUAACUUUAUAGUAAUAUUUUCAUUACGUAAUGUUCUAAAUCUGGAACAUUCUUUAAUGCUGAGUUUCAGUAUCAUAUCUUUAUCCUAAGUGGAAAAAUUAUUUGGCUGCAUCCAAGUACUGUCUAAAUUAAUUUCGCAAAAAUGCAUGAUUAAUUUUGAUAGAAUAAACUAUCUUAUUUAUUUUAUGGAAGCAUUAAUGCAAUGUGCAAUUUCAAUCAGUCUUUUUUACAUUUUUUUUUCUGCUAAAACCAACCAGUUUAUCUUAAUUUUAACAUGGAUCUGUUAUGCUCUAAGUUUCUAUUUUGAAUCCAUUUAAUCUCAUCUCAGUUUAUCAACAAAAACUCGACCAAAUCUUAGCCAAACUUCAAAAAGUUUUUCAUAUUAUCUCGACUUCAAGUUGAUCCUUUUUCUACAAUGGUUGUCGUUGAAACGACAAAGCAAAAAAAUUACAUAUUAACGAAGAACUGUAUUUUUGUGGCACAAUUUUUUAGCAACUGAAUUAUCAAUUGUAAUUACUACGCUGUACGAAUAUUGUGUCUUGUAUAUACUUGUACAGAUUACCAAAAUUUGAAUAAGUAGCAAUUCUGUAAAUCACCUCUCGACUUUAUUUUUUGUUUCUUGAUCUUUUUAUCUGUAUCUUCUUUUCUCUGGGAUCCAAUUUUUGAUAUUCAGCAAGCUCCAAAUUAGUUGAAUAUUUUUUUAAUCAUAGAUAAUUAAUGUGCUAUAAGUUCUUGUAAACUGUUUGAACUCUUCCCAUAGAAAACCUUAGUAGAUGUACCAGCAAGUACCAGUUUUUUGGAGGUUUUGAGUGACUGGAAUAAUUCUUGUAAAGCUAUCGUUCCUUGUGUUGCAUGAAUUGUUGAAGGACCAAACGCACAUACUGCUAGGCGGUGUCCCAUUAUGAACACAAUUAUUACAGCUGCCUGUGGGAAGGGUUUCACUAUCCAUUUAUCUCGCAUCCGAAUAAAUGUAGAACCCAAAUAGCUGUAUUCAUUCAUUAAAUCAAAAGCGAAUUCCUGCAGAAGAGUGACAGGUUACUCAGUAAUGAAUUGUGUAAUGAUAAUGAAAAAAGGCCCUGUGAACUCGAUGACUAGGAAAAAAUGUUUCUAAGGGUUUUUUAUUUUCAGUGAAAGCGGUAAGAUAGCUUGUUAAGUAAUUAGUAAAAGCUCCAAGGGCGGUAUUCAUAGUUGUUCCUCAGACAGCUCCUUGCCCGAGGAAGGUCUCAUAUAGUUUAUAUGGUGAUCAAGUGAGAUUAAGGCAGCCCUAAACAUAGUAUCAUUACAAAGACAAUUUUUGUUGACCUAUGGUAAUAUUUAACAGUGCAACUCCAUAAAUGGAUCCUCAGGAGGGGUUUAAGAAAGUAAUUUGUUCUAGUUAAAAUUACAAAAUCUGAAGUAAAAAUUCCAUGAUUUCAACAAACUUAAGAUAGGUGCACACUCACCUUAGAAUUUACCACACUCGCAAUAUAUUUGUCUUUUCUUUUGUAUUGGCAAAUCAUCAUAAUCCCCUGCAAGGAUCUAUCGACAGAGUUAUACUCCUGAAUUUUACUUCGGGUUUGUAAACAUUGUCAUUUUUACAAUGGAACGUUCAAGGCUUCCUCGAGCCACCCUUAACCGCUUGAUGUCCCCCUAUGCAAAGGAGCUGUUUAAGAAACAAAUGACGAUGAAUGUAUGAAGAUGGCCAUCAGAAUUGGUAGCAU